UCUCGUGGUGCGCCGUUUUUUAAGCCCGUCGGAAAAGCGCAGUAUUCGGGUGGGAGUGACCCGAUUUUCCAGGUGCUGUCCGUCACCCCUUUCUUUGAUUAGGAAAGGAACUCCCUGACCCCUUGCGCUUCCCGAGUGAGGCAAUGCCUCGCCCUGCUUCGGCUCGCGCACGGUGCGCGCACCCACUGACCUGCGCCCACUGUCUGGCACUCCCUAGUGAGAUGAACCCGGUACCUCAGAUGGAAAUGCAGAAAUCACCCGUCUUCUGCGUCGCUCAGGCUGGGAGCUGUAGACUGGAGCUGUUCCUUUUCGGCCAUCUUGGCGCCUCCCUCAGCCCACAUGUGAAUCACAGCUUCUACUGCAUGCCCACUCCUUUUGCCUAAAUAUGCAGUUAUCAUCAUACAUCCAGAAUUGCCCUCUGUCCCGGGCUGCAUACAUCAUCAGAGGAGAAUGUUGAUCACCUGUUUCCAAGCCUUGGCAAGGCAAUUCAGGAUAAAUGU
rnacentral:lncRNA from 1 species